rnacentral:rRNA from 1 species
AUUGAACGCUGGCGGCAGGCUUAACACAUGCAAGUCGAGCGAGCGGCGGACGGGUGAGUAAUGUCUGGGAAACUGCCUGAUGGAGGGGGAUAACUACUGGAAACGGUAGCUAAUACCGCAUACCAUCAGAUGUGCCCAGAUGGGAUUAGCUAGUGGGUGGGGUAAUGGCUCACCGAGGCGGCGAUCCCUUGCUGGGCUGAGAGGAUGAACAGCCACAGGGGGACUGAGCCACGGUCCAGACUCCUACGGGAGGCAGAGGCGGGGAAGAGUGCACGAUGGGCGCAAGACUGAUGAAUGGAUGGCGCGCGUGUGAAGAAGGGCUUCGGGGGGGAAGGCACUUUCAGCGAGGAGGCGUUACUCGCAGAAGAAGCACCGGCUAACUACGUGCCAGCAGCCGCGGUAAUUC